GAUGAACGCUGGCGGUAUGCUUAACACAUGCAAGUUGAACGAAUUUUUCUUUUUCAUUUCGAAAAUAAAAAUUAGUAGCGAACGGGUGAGUAACACGUAAGAAUCUACAUUUAGGUAAAGAAUAACAAUUGGAAACGAUUGCUAAUACUUUAUAAGCUGAAAAGGAAAAGGAAAAUCCGCCUAAAAAUGAGCUUGCGUCUGAUUAGUUAGUUGGUAAGGUAAUGGCUUACCAAGACUUCGAUCAGUAGUUGGUCUGAGAGGAUGAUCAACCACACUGGGACUGAGAUACGGCCCAGACCUCUACGGAGGGCAGCAGUGAGAAUUUUCCGCAAUGGGCGAAAGCCUGACGGAGCAAUACCGCGU
rnacentral:rRNA from 1 species